GUGGAAAAUUCGGAAAUAUUGGGGAAGGGGAUAGUAUAGGGGAGUUCGCUGUGGAAGGAAGAUCACCAUCAUCUGUGUGGGAAAUGGUUUCCCAGACUCUUCUGCAAGCAUGCAUUGAUGCUUAUAAGAAAAAGGGUGUCAUCCAAUUCUGCUGUACUCAUGAUGUAUAUAAAAUGGACAAACAAGAGUCAAGUGAAGUUGGUUCAUUGACCAAAUUCUCUUACUUAGGUGCCCCUCCCAAUUUUCCAAGAUUAGUGCAGAGCAAUUCCGAGUUAAAAAGUACUUGUGAAAUGUUAGUGAAGUGGUUAGAGCAAAACCGAAUUGGACUUGAUGUAGAUUUUGUGCAAGAAAUUAUUGAACAGCUUCCUGGUGUAUCUGCGUGCUCAAAUUAUAAAAUUGUUACCAAGAGAAAACACAAGACAACUCUGCAAACAGUUGGAAAUGGGUUCCUGCAGG
rnacentral:misc_RNA from 1 species